GGCGGCGGCGUACGGGCCGGUUCGCACGGUCCAUCAGCCGAGUUGCGCAGCACCCCUGUUGAUCAGCUAGAG
rnacentral:tRNA from 1 species